rnacentral:rRNA from 1 species
AUUGAACGCUGGCGGCAGGCCUAACACAUGCAAGUCGGACGAGUGGCGGACGGGUGAGUAAUGUAUGGGAAACUGCCUGAUGGAGGGGGAUAACUACUGGAAACGGUAGCUAAUACCGCAUACCAUCGGAUGAGCCCAUAUGGGAUUAGCUGGUAGGUAGGGUAACGGCUGACCUAGGCGACGAUCCCUAGCUGGUCUGAGAGGAUGACCAGCCAAACUGGAACUGAGACACGGUCCAGACUCCUACGGGAGGCAGCAGUGGGGAAUAUUGCACAAUGGGCGCAAGCCUGAUGCAGCCAUGCCGCGUGUAUGAAGAAGGCCUUAGGGUUGUAAAGUACUUUCAGCGGGGAGGCGUUACCCGCAGAAGAAGCACCGGCUAACUCCGUGCCAGCAGCCGCGGUAAUUC